CCUACGGGAGGCAGCAGUGAGGAAUAUUGGUCAAUGGGCGGAAGCCUGAACCAGCCAAGUAGCGUGCGGGAUGAAGGCCCUACGGGUCGUAAACCGCUUUUGCACGGGGAUAACACCCUCCACGUGUGGAGGUCUGCAGGUACCGUGCGAAUAAGGGCCGGCCAAUCCCGGUCCAGCAGCCGCGGUAAUACGGAAGGCCCGAGCGUUAUCCGGGUUCAUUUGGCUUAAAGGGAGCGUAGGCGGGCGUUCAAGUCAGCGGUAAAAUCGCGCGGCUCAACCUCGCCCCGCCGUUGAAACUGGGGUCCUUGAGUUCACAACAGGCAGGCGGAAUGCGUGGUGUAGCGGUGAAAUGCAUAGAUAUCACGAGGAACCCCGAUUGCGAAGGCAGCCUGCCGGGGUGCGACUGACGCUGAGGCUCGAAGGUGCGGGUAUCAAACAGGAUUAGAUACCCUUGUAGUC
rnacentral:rRNA from 1 species